AGAAGAACUCUGUGCAUGCAUGGUGGCGAUGGUUGCACAACAAUGUGACUGUAAUUAAUACCACUGAGCUGUAUACUUAAAAGUGAUUAAUUAAUAUGGUAAAUUUUGUUAUGUAUAUUUUACACAAUU